rnacentral:rRNA from 1 species
CCCUUCGGGGUGAGUAAAGCGGCGGACGGGUGAGUAACGCGUAGGAAUCUACCCAGUAGUGGGGGACAACUAGUGGAAACGCUAGCUAAUACCGCAUACGCCCUAUGGGGGAAAGCGGGGGACCUUUGGGCCUCGCGCUAUUGGAUGAGCCUGCGUAAGAUUAGCUUGUUGGUGAGGUAAUGGCUCACCAAGGCUACGAUCUUUAGCUGGUCUGAGAGGAUGAUCAGCCACACCGGGACUGAGACACGGCCCGGACUCCUACGGGAGGCAGCAGUCGGGAAUAUUGCGCAAUGGGGGAAACCCUGACGCAGCCAUGCCGCGUGUGUGAAGAAGGCCCUAGGGUUGUAAAGCACUUUCAAUUGGGAGGAAAAGCUAAUGGUUAAUAACCAUUAGCCCUGACGUUACCUUUAGAAGAAGCACCGGCUAACUCCGUGCCAGCAGCCGCGGUAAUACGGAGGGUGCAAGCGUUAAUCGGAAUUACUGGGCGUAAAGCGCGCGUAGGCGGUUUUUUAAGUCGGAUGUGAAAGCCCCGGGCUCAACCUGGGAACUGCAUCCGAUACUGGAAGACUAGAAUGCGGGAGAGGGAGGUAGAAUUCCAUGUGUAGCAGUGAAAUGCGUAGAUAUAUGGAGGAAUACCAGUGGCGAAGGCG